rnacentral:rRNA from 1 species
AGAUUGAACGCUGGCGGCAGGCCUAACACAUGCAAGUCGAGCGGUAGAGAGGUGCUUGCACCUCUUGAGAGCGGCGGACGGGUGAGUAAUGCCUAGGAAUCUGCCUAGUGGUGGGGGAUAACGUUCGGAAACGGACGCUAAUACCGCAUACGUCCUACGGGAGAAAGCGGGGGACCUUCGGGCCUCGCGCCAUUAGAUGAGCCUAGGUCGGAUUAGCUAGUUGGUGAGGUAAUGGCUCACCAAGGCGACGAUCCGUAACUGGUCUGAGAGGAUGAUCAGUCACACUGGAACUGAGACACGGUCCAGACUCCUACGGGAGGCAGCAGUGGGGAAUAUUGGACAAUGGGCGCAAGCCUGAUCCAGCCGUACCGCGUGGUGAGAGGCUCGGUGUAAGCCUUUGUGGAAGAAGCAUCGGUAAUACCGGUGUUCUGACGUACCCAAAGAAUAACGCACCGCUAACGUUCGUGCCAGCUAGCCGCGGUAA